rnacentral:rRNA from 1 species
CCUACGGGGCGCAGCAGUGAGGAAUAUUGGUCAAUGGCCGAGAGGCUGAACCAGCCAAGUCGCGUGAGGGAAGACGGCCCUACGGGUUGUAAACCUCUUUUGUCGGGGAGCAAAGCGAGUCACGUGUGACUCAUUGAGAGUACCCGAAGAAAAAGCAUCGGCUAACUCCGUGCCAGCAGCCGCGGUAAUACGGAGGAUGCGAGCGUUAUCCGGAUUUAUUGGGUUUAAAGGGUGCGCAGGCGGAGGUGCAAGUCAGCGGUCAAAUUGCGGGGCUCAACCUUGUACUGCCGUUGAAACUGCAUCCC